UACAGAGGGUGCGAGCGUUAAUCGGAUUUACUGGGCGUAAAGCGUACGUAGGCGGCUUUUUAAGUCAGAGGUGAAAGCCCGGGGCUCAACUCCGGAACUGCCUUUGAAACUGGAAAGCUUGAACAUGGGAGAGGUCAGUGGAAUUCCGAGUGUAGAGGUGAAAUUCGUAGAUAUUCGGAAGAACACCAGUGGCGAAGGCGACUGAUUGGACAAGCAUUGACGCUGAGGUGCGAAAGCGUGGGGAGCAAACAGG
rnacentral:rRNA from 1 species